rnacentral:tRNA from 1 species
CGGGGUGUAGCUCAGCUUGGCUAGAGCGCUGCGUUUGGGACGCAGAAGUCGAAGGUUCGAAUCCUUUCACCCCGA